rnacentral:lncRNA from 1 species
GAGAGUAACACCCCCAAAAAUGUUUGGAAAAAUUCAGAAGGUCUAAUUAAAAUCCAUCCUGUUGCAGAAGAGGUCAAAUAAAACCCUUUAGACAAAAGACUUGGUCUAAUCUUUAUACAUGAUAAUAGUCACCGUUAAGAUACACAUUUGUAUACUACGAGAACAACACAGAAGAUAGAGAUACUGAAACUUUUUACUGGUUUACCUAACCUGCAGGUUGGGGAAGAGCUGGUCAUGGGUUUGUCUUCAGGGAAGCCCGGCAUACAGAGUUUGAACCACCCUGUCACAGGGGGCUGGCCAAGCAUAGAAACACUUUCUAGUGUUUCUCUUUGAGACGAAUUCAAUAUGGCCGCCAAACAUGGUAGUGUUUUAUAUACACCGACAACUUUCUAAGGGGUACAUCCUAGGUUGUGUCCCAUUCUACCGUCGAGCAGAAGUAAAGUGAUGUUUGCCCAUCAAUGUGAGCACUGGUAAGAGUUUUGGAGGGUGGCUGUUGUUAGCUUGAUCUGGCUCUAGCUCCCUCUGCCUUGCUCAGUGAAGACAAACCCUCUGAACAAAAGCCUUUCCAUGCGCAACUCGUAAAGAUUCAUUAUUGCUUACAGGAACAAAGCAUUUUGUGUACAUGGACACACAGUGCAGAGUCAUGGAGAGCAAUGGAGUGGCAUAGGAAAAGGAAGGGGAGAGAGGGGAACAGACCUGAACAGCGUGGUCUGUUUCUGUCAGCUGGGGAAGGGUCAUACUGGCAUGGGGGUUAAAAGGGAAGGGUCAUACUGGCAUGGGGGUUAAAAGGGAAGGGUCAUACUGGCAUGGGGGGUAAAAGGGAAGGGUCAUACUGGCAUGGGGGGUAAAAGGGAAGGGUCAUACUGGCAUGGGGGUUAAAAGGGAAGGGUCAUACUGGCAUGGGGGGUAAAAGGGAAGGGUCAUACUGGCAUGGAGGUUAAAAGGGAAGGGUCAUACUGGCAUGAUGGGGUAAAAGGGAAGGGUCAUACUGGCAUGGGGGUUAAAAGGGAAGGGUCAUACUGGCAUGGGGGGUAAAAGGGAAGGGUCAUACUGGCAUGGGGGGUAAAAGGGAAGGGUCAUACUGGCAUGAGGGGGUAGAAGGGAAGGGUCAUACUGGCAUGGAGGGU